CUUUCUUGAUGGGGCCUGAUGGUCGGCUCCAGCCCGUUGUGGCGCAGGCAAAUGUUUCAAGUGGCGCCAUCUUGCUUGACUCCUCCUGCCCCCCGGAGCUCAUUAUUAUCUGGGUUGAUAGGGGGCCUUCAGGACAGCAUGUGGGUAGUCUGUGGCCACUCGGCGGGGACUGAACCAGGCUUGUGGCACCGGGCGGGGCGCGAUCCCGCGUCCUCCUGGAUGCGGCGCCGUCACGCUAUCCACUCAGCCACUGCCUGUUGUAAGGCAAUAAUGUAUAUUGGAUCAUGUAGAUAGAAAUGUGAAAAAUGUGAGUGCUUGAACUCAACACACAGCUCGAUGUGGCGCCACCGUGUUUAGCCGAGGUUUGUUGUUUUGGGAGUGACGGCCGGAGGACUUUGCUGAAGUCAACACCUCUUAGCCGCCUUGGAGACACGAGCAAGAGGAGAGCCGGGCAGAGAAGCAGCGGCGGCGGUGGCGAACGGUCGAGGCCUGGCGUCCUCACACUCACUGAGACUGCAGUGUAAUCCCGUGUAAGCCUGCAUAAUAUAUUGCAAUACUACACUAAGAACGUUUGAAUGCUCUGAGAGAGAGAGAAAAAAAAGGACAGAAGUGACGGCAACCGCUCUGCCAGAUUACAUCACUUCCCAGAAACAACAUAUGGCAAGGAAUUUUGUUGCCUCACUCACUCCCAGUCAAGCUGUGUGAAGUUCAGGAACCGUGACUCCAGCCCGGACGGCGAGGUGACACUGCGAGCCAACAAAGAACACACACGGCGCCCAAAACAGACAGCAUUAAAAAACGGUAACAUAAACGGUGGCAAUUCGGUGUCGGACAGCUCCAAAGUGUUUCUCUCUCUCUCUCUCUCUCUCUCUAACAUUUAUAGCAGUGAACAUUGUGUGAGGGCAGUGAGAAGCCGCGCCGCCACCACCACAUCGCUGACACAGUGCGUGCGACCUUCCCUUGACCCCGUGUGUUGAGUCAGCCUGUCACACCCCUCACAACGCACCACCCCGCCCCGCCCCGCCCCGCCCCGCCCAUCACCAGCAAAAAGGGUGUCUCUUCAGUCUUCAUCUGUUUGAGCCACCUCUUCGCUACCUACGGCACGGCCUGAUUGUGGGCUGCUCUGUACUUCGCCAGGCAACACGGAUCUUUGGCUGACGUCACUUUGCACCGACCCCCCCCCUCGCCCCUCGCCUCUCCGCUGCCGGCGCCGGAGCCCCGCGCCAGCCCUGCCCGCCUGUCUACAAGGCGGUGACGCUGGUCAGCUUGCCGGGAGUUGCUGAGUUCCGGUUUUCUGUCUCCGGGUUAUCUGGCAUCACAAUUCACUUAACAGACACUACAUUGAUACGGUUAUCAGUAAUUACACCACUUGCAACAAGAGUUUAGGUGAAUUACUUGUAUUUUCACGUGUCCAGGUGUGUGGAGCCGUAUUUAUUGAUUGUUAUUCUCGGCUGUUGAUUAUUUUUUUGUCUGUUAUGUGGAUGAUUAAGUAGUAGGCACGUUCAUUCAUUUUAUUUUCUCCUUUCUUUAGUGUUUCGUGCACGGCGAAGGGAAAGUGUUGACACCUCAGUUUAACUCACCACGACUCUCUCUCUCUUUCCCCUUUUUGCUGCCCUUUAUUAUAGAGGCAUCGGGGCGAGCGGGCACACGCCUAGCAGUGCACUAGCAUUACACUAUUCAUUUCAACUGCGGUAAUUACUUUGUUCUCUUUUCCCAUUGCCCGGCAACGCCUUUCAAAUUACUGCCGACCACUGCGGCGGUUAUGGCCUUCUCGGGGACCGAGGAUGAUUACACUGCCAGGGAUUUUAUUCUUCAGUGCGAGGAUGUCAUGAACUAUUCAUUCGUGUCCGAUCCGGGAGACAAAAUAUCCUUCGUUCGGUCCCGCUUGCAGCCUGGCUCCCUCGCCUCGGCUCUGAUGCAGGCCAGCGCGUUCACAGUGCCGCAGGAAAGGCGAGACUAUGCCGCGUUUCGCUCACACUUUCUUGAAACGUUUGGGGAUGAUGUGAAGCACAGCCUCGUAAAGGGCGUAAAUUUGUGUGUGGACACUUUGCGGACAAAUGCGGGAACCAAGGGCCUUUUUCAGGGGCAAGUGGACGCCUAUCGGCUGUCGACUGAUCUCAUUAAGUGUCUCAAAGAAGGAGGCUGGACAGAUGGAGAAAAUAUGUCUCUUGGUAACACUCUUAAAUUUCUAGAAUUCCUCAUUUACAUGAUUGUCCUGAAAGACCAGUAUCGAAAGAGUUCCUCAUCUCUUGAAUUCGGCCCCGAUGACAAACUACACGACUUCGUGCAGAAACUCAAGACCAAGAUUGAGGAGGAAGAAGGCGCAGCGUGCCCCGCCGUGGCUGAAGUGCGCCAGGAAAAUGCCAACAGUAACGCUUCUGCCUCAUCCGUAGUUGCGUCCACCACCGGAAAGCCCAAAUUCAAAUGUUCCUAUUGUCAGCGAGACGGCCACACCGUAUACUACUGUAAAAUGCGCCGGCAAAUGCGGAAGACAAAGAGUGCCAAGGGGGACACGCACAAGUCCGGAAACGCUGCUCCGAAUUUCACGUCACGAUAGGAGGCGACGAGUGACUGAGCGGUGUAAGGCACUGAUGUAUACAGGAUCAGGUGAAAGAAAUGUGAGAAAUGUGUGUGCCUCAACAUAUAGCAACAUAUGUAGCUUAAAAUGGCUUUGUUUCGAGCAGCAGCAAAUGAGGUUAAAAUGUUAAGUGUACUAUCACCUCGAGUCGUAUCUGUCUCCUUUGUGAGUGUAACUAUAAAGAAAAUCACUGAUGAAUUUUGACACACCGCAGGAAGAGGAAGUGUUGAGGGGAGUAGGAGGAGCAAAAGGGGAAAGGAAGAAGGAAAAGGAGGAGGAAGAUUAGGAGAGGAAGAAAGAGGAAGAGACGGGAAAGAGGAGGUGGGGAAAUAAUGGUAUGAUAAUUUUCUUAUUAUUCACUACUGUGUUAUUGUACAUCCUCUGUUAUUACGGUUCCAGACACAUAAAGGCCGCCUUACAUCACCAAUAAAAAUAAUGAGUUAAGAGUUAAGAAGUGUUCAUCGUUUAUGCUCUAGUGUAGUCUCUCUGUGACGUCGGUAUUGUUAAACGCUCCCUUCUCUUACAUUCAUAAUUUCUAAAGGCAAAAUAAGAGGUCAAACGCGUCUCCAUGGGUGUUUCUUUACGUUCACGGUACAGAGGAAGGGUCAGACUACCACCAGGGUCAUAAAACUGCCCCUGGAAAUGCCCACAAAUCCCACGAAAGCCUUGUUAAAUGUAUGUGCUUGGGCGCCGGGAGGUUUAAGAAUAUGAGAAUCUGAGCAAACUUUGAGCUGACUUUGCAUAGUCAUCUACAUUAUACGCUUUGUUCAGAGUAGGCUUGUUUUUUUGAGUGACAGUCUGAGGAAUUUGCUGAAGUCGACACGUACUGCUUGACCGCCCAGAGACACGAAGCAGCAGCAGGAGGAGGAGGAGGAGGAGGAGGAGGAGAGGUAGAGAAGCAUAGAAGCAGAGGUUGUGGUUGACUCCUCACACUCACUGAGACUGUAAAUACGUGUAAGCUUGCAUAAUAUAUUUCAGUACUACACUAAAGACGUUUGAAUACCCUGAGAGAGAGAGAGAGAGAGAGAGAGAGAGAGAGAGAGAGAGAGAGAGAGAGAGAGAGAGAGACUACAACCGUUCUACCAGACUACAUCACUACCCAGAAACAACGUAUGACAAGGCCCUUCCUCACUCACUACCAGUCACCAGUACAAUGCAGUAACAGUCACUCUGGUAGUAGUAGUAGUAGUAGUAGUAGUAGUAGUAGUAGAACCUUAUAUUAAACAUUCUAAUUGCAUGAAGCCUAAAUAGUGAAUGGGUUAAACUACUGAAUGGGUUUAACUAAUCUAUUACACACACACACACACACACACACACACACACACACACACACACACACUUAAACUACUACCCAAAAAGAGAAGAAUAAGCUAACCUUGCACAUACCACUAACACCAUAACGAGCAUAUAACUGGACAAAGAAACCACCGAAUAAUCAGUCAACUAUAAGAGUACCCCAUAAAAAUUCGUAAAGCCACGUCUUCUAUGAAUAAAUAAAGAGGUAAAUAAAUAAAAUAAAUAUCCCCAACGAAAUACCAAAAAAAAAAAAUAAAUAAAUAAAUAAAUAAAUACACGAAUAAAUAGCUAUUAAUACGUGGAAAAUAAUUAGGAUAGAAUAUUAAUGAAAUAAUUAGGAUAUAUUAGGAUUAGAAAUAGAUUAGGAUAGACAUAAUUAGAUAGAAUAUUAAAGAAAACAAACAAUAGUGAAAUAAAGAAAUGAAGAGAGAAAUGGCAACCCUCUCUCUCUCUCUCUCUCUCUCUCUCUCUCUCUCUCUCUCUCAGCAAAUAAAUAUAUAUACAAACGUUGCAAAAUUAACAGCAUAUAAUAUUAAUGAAAGCAAAUAACAGGAGGAGAGAAAUAAACAGAGAAAUAGAGAGAAAUACAGGAACUUUCCCUUCUCUCUCUCUCUCUCUCUCUCUCUCUCUCUCUCUCUCUCUCACCUGCCAUUCCUUCACCUGAGCUCACAAAGGUAACUCCAGGUGUGCGCUAAGCUAAUUAACAGGUGAGGGAGGGAGAGGGACAGGUGGGAGUGACUUUGAAGGUGUAAUGCGCGAUCAGUUUCUUCUAAUUAACAGGUGGAGAGUGUUGCAUGGGGGACACUGGCAAGGCUGAGGCUGUGGAUGUCCUGGUGUGCGGAGGGUUAUGGCAGCCUCGGCAAGUCAUGCAGGCAGGAGCGACAGCCACCAUCACCAGCAGGAGUGUGUGUGGUGUGCGCUGACCCUCCCUGAAGACGCCUGUGCUAUCGGCAGAGUCCUCAAGGAGCAUAAGGAGGAAGGAAGGUCAUGGUAACUAAUUCUUCAUGGGGGGGUUGUCGUAGGAUCUUGAGGCAUCGCUGGAAUGACUUUGGGUGAAUAAAAUGGUCUAUCAGUUAUAUUACAAAAGACACACUAAGCAAAAAGCUACAUUAACCUGGUAGCAGCGACGGGCCAAAUUUGUGGCUUUACCGUGUAGCAGCGACGGGACAAAUUUGUACCAUGAUAUAAACCCCCAAAAAUAGAUGAUACAUAAUCUGAUCACAAAUGCUUUGAUAUAUAUUAUGAAAUGGUUUGUGUGAGGGGUGAUUUUUUUCUCAUUUUUCUCGCUUGGAGGGACCCCACUGCUACCGGGUUAAGACUGUGAUCAGAUAGGAGAACAAAACAGUCAAGCUAGAACAAAACUAACAUAUACAGUGAACAUUUGUCAAACUCCCUUCCUUAAUCUUUUUAUUGUGGUAAAUUGUUCCGACGUAAAUGUUAUAUAGACCCGAUUUUGCAGCCCAAGUCACCGAUCAUCAGAGACUCCAAGAUCCUGUCGUUACCUGGAUGAUGUUACCUGGAUCUCUUUACCUGUGGCAUCUUACCUGGUGACCUGAUGCCCUUCUGUACCUGUUUGUGUCACUCCACCUGUUGCGUUUGUUCAAGUUUGCUUCCUCGGCUCCGUUCAUCCACACCUGAGAUCACCUGGAUGAUGUUACCUGGAUGUCAUUACCUGUGGCAUCUUACCUGGUCACCUGAUGCCCUUCUGUACCUGGUUGCAUCACUCCACCUGUUGAGUUUGUCCAAGGCUUCCCAGGGAGGCGGACAGACGUGAGACAGCCAAUGAGAGCCUAAUGAGAGGAGACAGAAGAGGAAACAACUAUACAUAAGAGAAGGAAGCAGAACUGAGGAGGAAGAGCGAGAACACUGAUUGUGAAAAAGGAAAG